CGCUGGCGGCGUGCCUAAUACAUGCAAGUCGAGCGGACCAACUUAAGAGCUUGCUCUUAUGAGGUUAGCGGCGGACGGGUGAGUAACACGUGGGCAACCUGCCCUGUAGACUGGGAUAACAUCGAGAAAUCGGUGCUAAUACCGGAUAAUUAUUGGAACUGCAUAGUUCUAACUUAAAAGAUGGCUCCGGCUAUCACUAUAGGAUGGGCCCGCGGCGCAUUAGCUAGUUGGUAAGGUAAUGGCUUACCAAGGCGACGAUGCGUAGCCGACCUGAGAGGGUGAUCGGCCACACUGGGACUGAGACACGGCCCAGACUCCUACGGGAGGCAGCAGUAGGGAAUCUUCCGCAAUGGACGAAAGUCUGACGGAGCAACGCCGCGUGAGUGAUGAAGGUUUUCGGAUCGUAAAGCUCUGUUGUUAGGGAAGAACAAGUGCCGUUCGAAUAGGGCGGCACCUUGACGGUACCUAACCAGAAAGCCACGGCUAACUACGUG
rnacentral:rRNA from 1 species